rnacentral:lncRNA from 1 species
CAUAAGCAAGAGAUCUGCAGUUGUGUCUGCCAGCAAUGCAGCUAGGAGGAAGAGAACUCACCCAGAGAUGCCUGAUCCAGCUACGAUCCUCACGGAGCUGAUAAUCCUAUCAGAAGCACAGCUUUCAGACUGAUGGUUGCCAGCUCCAAAAUGUCACCAGUGGGAAUUGUGUCAUUUCUGAAUGAAGACAUUUCCGUCCAACAUUUUGGUUUGCCU